UCUAACCAUUUAUAUGUACGCCCAUUCCAGUAAUUGAGAAUUAGGAAGUAUGUUAUGGUGGUAAACUGGUGCUGCAGUUUGUUUUUCUGAGAAGUAGAGGUUUUCGAAAAUCCGAUUUUAAAAGGGGUUGAUAAGUUCGAUUAUCUUCAAAUUACAAACCGAUUACAAUGCAAAUCACGUUUACAGUGCGAAUCAUAACCAAACUCCUUAACCCCACAUAUCGUCGUAGUUUGUUCUUACUAAGAAUGGUACUAUAUUCAAACCGCAAUUUAUCUGGUACACUUGAAUAAUUUUAUACUCGGAAAAAAACUUUUUGCUAUAACGAUAUCUGAUAAAAGUAGCUAAUAAAAAGCUAGGAUCCUUUUGAAUGGGACAAUA